GGACUACCAGGGUAUCUAAUCCUGUUUGAUCCCCACACUUUCGUGCCUCAGCGUCAGUUGAAGCCUAGUAAGCUGUCUACACUAUCGGUGUUCUUGACGAUAUCUAAGCAUUUCACCGCUACACCGUCAAUUCCGCCUACCUCGACUUCACUCAAGCCCUGCAGUAUCAAUGGCACCCCUCCAGUUAAGCUGGAGUAUUUCACCACUGACUUACAGGGCCGCCUACGCACCCUUUAAACCCAAUAAAUCCGGACAACGCUUGCCACCUACGUAUUACCGCGGCUGCUGGCAC
rnacentral:rRNA from 2 species